UUGUUGUGCUGAGAUGGGAAGUUUCAACACAGUCGUCAACGAGAAACUAUCCAGUAGGUACACGAAAAACAGCACAUAAUUUGAUUUGUUCGCAGGAGUAACCAUCUCCUGUCCCGCCAAUGUUGCAUGGAGGUGGGAAGUCUCCAUGCAGUCGUUCAAAAAGAUAUCCGUCCAGUAGAAGAGAAGAAAUUCAGAUAUAGACCAGCUGAGAUGACAUCUAUUCACUGCUACUCCCUCAUGAUGCAGUGGCAUGACGUAUCCCAAGAGAUCAGAUUCAGAUAAAUAUCGGUAUGGAUUACGCACAUCUCAGAGCCACAUCGCUGGAAGAGAGCGAGCCUGAAUUACUCAGGACUUCAACGACUGGAUGAGAUGUAUAUUCAGCAGUGCAAUGUAAGUUAACGUAUACGUUCUUAUUCUAUAAACAGGUCUCAGACCACGCUGCUAUUAGUAAAGACUAUACGGACUUCCAGACCAGCACAUAAAGUUCCAGAUCUUACUUAAAUCUUCAACUCUUAAUGUUUCCAGUCAUGUUGUAUAUACAUAAAUAAUAAUAAAUA